GACAGAGGGUGCAAACGUUGUUCGGAAUUACUGGGCGUAAAGCGCGUGUAGGCUGCUUGGAAAGUCGGAUGUGAAAGCCCUGGGCUCAAACCCAGGAAGUGCACUCGAAACUUCCGAGCUCGAGUUCUGGAGAAGGAUAGCGGAAUUCUCGGUGUAGGAGGUGAAAUUCGUAGAUAUCGAAGAGGAACACCGGUGGCGAAGGCGGGUCUAC
rnacentral:rRNA from 1 species